rnacentral:rRNA from 1 species
UACGAAGGGGGCUAGCGUUGUUCGGAAUUACUGGGCGUAAAGCGCGCGCAGGCGGCUAUCCAAGUCAGUGGUGAAAGCCCGGAGCUCAACUCCGGAACUGCCAUUGAAACUGUUUAGCUUGAGGAUGAGAGAGGUGAGUGGAAUUCCCAGUGUAGAGGUGAAAUUCGUAGAUAUUGGGAAGAACACCGGUGGCGAAGGCGGCUCACUGGCUCAUUACUGACGCUCAGGCGCGGAUAGCGUGGGGAGCAAACAGG